AUUGAACGCUAGCGGGUUGCUUUACACAUGCAAGUCGAACGAGUGGCGGACGGGUGAGUAAUAUAUCGGAACGUGCCCAAUAGCGGGGGAUAACUACUCGAAAGGGUGGCUAAUACCGCAUACUAUUAGAGCGGCCGAUAUCGGAUUAGCUAGUUGGUGGGGUAAAGGCUCACCAAGGCGACGAUCCGUAGCUGGUUUGAGAGGACGAUCAGCCAAACUGGGACUGAGACACGGCCCAGACUCCUACGUGAGGCAGCAGUGGGGAAUUUUGGACAAUGGGGGCAACCCUGAUCCAGCCAUCCCGCGUGUAUGAGAAGGCCUUCGGGUUGUAAAGUACUUUUGGCAGAGAAGCGGUAUCUGCAGAAUAAGCACCGGCUAACUACGUGCCAGCAGCCGCGGUAAUAC
rnacentral:rRNA from 1 species